AACUUUUAACAACGGGAUCUCUUGGUUCUGGCAUCGCAUGAAGAACGCAGCGGAAAUGCGGAUAAGUAAUGUGAAUUGCAGAAUUCAGUGAAUCAUCGAAUCUUUGAACGCACAUUGCGCCCGCCAGCAUUCUGGCGGGCAUGCCUGUUCGAGCGUCAUUUC
rnacentral:rRNA from 1 species